UACGUAGGUGACAAGCGUUGUCCGGAUUUACUGGGCGUAAAGAGCGCGCAGGCGGUCGUUCAAGUCGAGUGUGAAAGCCCCCGGCUCAACUGGGGAGGGUCACUCGAUACUGAUCGACUUGAAGGCAGGAGAGGGAAGCGGGAAUUCCCGGUGUAGUGGUGAAAUGCGUAGAUAUCGGGAGGAACGCCAGUGCGAAGGCGGCUUCCUGGCCUGCUCUUGACGCUGAGGCGCGAAA
rnacentral:rRNA from 1 species